GGUCGCUUAGCUCAGUUGGUUAGAGCGUGGUGCUAAUAUCAGCAGUCUUCAAAGAGGACUAAGGGUUAACGCCAAGGUCGCGAGUUCGACCCUCGUAGUGACCA
rnacentral:tRNA from 1 species